UGCCCCAGAGUGAUUCCACCCCGUCCACCCCCACCCAGAAGAUGCUGUAUUUGUCUGAGGCCAGGCCCAACGUCCUGGGUUUACAGUCUACCGUCCUGCUGGAUGCAUUAGAGACAGACUCAGAUGGAGAGUCAUAUUAUAUGUCUGUGGAUGAGGAGCACCAACCCUCCGUCAUAGAGGAACUGACUGACGUACACUUCAAGUUUGAAGUCAAAGCGGUACGA